UUAGGAAUUUUGCGCAAUGGGGGAAACCCUGACGCAGCAACGCCGCGUGAAGGAUGAAGGCUUUCGGGUUGUAAACUUCUUUUAGCAGGAAAGAAACAAAUGACGGUACCUGCAGAAAAAGCACCGGCUAACUCUGUGCCAGCAGCCGCGGUAAUACAGAGGGUGCAAGCGUUAUUCGGAAUUACUGGGCAUAAAGAGCGCGUAGGCGGUCUGAUAAGUCUGAUGUGAAAGCCCUGGACUCAAUCCAGGAAGUGCAUUAGAUACUGUUAGACUUGAGUACAGGAGAGGAGAACGGAAUUCCUGGUGUAGAGGUGAAAUUCGUAGAUAUCAGGAGGAACAACAGAGGCGAAGGCGGUUCUCUGGACUGUAACUGACGCUGAGGCGCGAAAGCGUGGGGAGCAAACAGG
rnacentral:rRNA from 1 species